GCUUGCUCCUUCACGUUAGCGGCGGACGGGUGAGUAACACGUGGGCAACCUACCUUAUAGUUUGGGAUAACUCCGGGAAACCGGGGCUAAUACCGAAUAAUCUGUUUCACCUCAUGGUGAAACACUGAAAGACGGUUUCGGCUGUCGCUAUAGGAUGGGCCCGCGGCGCAUUAGCUAGUUGGUGAGGUAACGGCUCACCAAGGCGACGAUGCGUAGCCGACCUGAGAGGGUGAUCGGCCACACUGGGACUGAGACACGGCCCAGACUCCUACGGGAGGCAGCAGUAGGGAAUCUUCCACAAUGGGCGAAAGCCUGAUGGAGCAACGCCGCGUGAGUGAAGAAGGAUUUCGGUUCGUAAAACUCUGUUGUAAGGGAAGAACAAGUACAGUAGUAACUGGCUGUACCUUGACGGUACCUUAUUAGAAAGCCACGGCUAACUACGUGCCAGCAGCCGCGGUAAUACGUAGGUGGCAAGCGUUGUCCGGAAUUAUUGGGCGUAAAGCGCGCGCAGGUGGUUUCUUAAGUCUGAUGUGAAAGCCCACGGCUCAACCGUGGAGGGUCAUUGGAAACUGGGAGACUUGAGUGCAGAAGAGGAUAGUGGAAUUCCAAGUGUAGCGGUGAAAUGCGUAGAGAUUUGGAGGAACACCAGUGGCGAAGGCGACUAUCUGGUCUGUAACUGACACUGAGGCGCGAAAGCGUGGGGAGCAAACAGAUUAGUACCCUGGUAGUCCACG
rnacentral:rRNA from 2 species